rnacentral:rRNA from 1 species
AUUGAACGCUGGCGGCAUGCCUUACACAUGCAAGUCGAACGGUAACAGGUCUUCGGAUGCUGACGAGUGGCGAACGGGUGAGUAAUACAUCGGAACGUGCCCGAUCGUGGGGGAUAACGAAGCGAAAGCUUUGCUAAUACCGCAUAAGAUCUACGGAUGAAAGCAGGGGACCGCAAGGCCUUGCGCGAACGGAGCGGCCGAUGGCAGAUUGGGUAGUUGGUGGGAUAAAAGCUUACCAAGCCGACGAUCUGUAGCUGGUCUGAGAGGACGACCAGCCACACUGGGACUGAGCCACGGCACAGACUCCUACGGGAGGCAGCAGUGGGGAAUUUUGGACAAUGGGCGAAAGCCUGAUCCAGCCAUGCCGCGUGCAGGAUGAAGGCCUUCGGGUUGUAAAAUGCUUUUGUACGGAACGAAAAGACUCUGGUUAAUACCUGGGGUCCAUGACGGUACCGUAAGAAUAAGCACCGGCUAACUACGUG